rnacentral:lncRNA from 1 species
CCACAAUUCAAAAGUGUCAGUUCUUUGGUGCUCAGCUUUCCUUUUGGUCCAGCUCUCCCGUCCAUACAUGACUACUGGAAAAACCAUAGCUUUGACCAGAAGGACUUUUGUAGCAAAGUAGUGUCUGCUUUUUAACAUGCUGUCUCGGUUUGUCAUAGCUCUCCCUUUCUCAUUAUCUCACAUUUAAAUUUCCAGCUGCUCUGUUACCUGCCCCAAGCUAAACCCACCAUUUCUGGCUAGUAAAGCUGGGAGGAGUGCACACGCCUUCAAGCAAGAAGUCAGCAGAUCCAUCCUUUUUGGUAAAAUUCGGCUGCCGUGGAUUCUUUACCAGCUGACUUACCAGGGAAGCUUCACCGAGUCCUUACCAGGUACCAACUUCAAGGAGAAGGAGGGAGGAGACUACACAAGAAAGCUUUGCUAUUUUGCAUCGAGAUAACUGAAACUUCAUUAAACAAAUCAGAAUUGUGUAUAAAACAAUAGUGAUUUUGUGCUAAGACUUU